rnacentral:lncRNA from 1 species
AGUACAGUGGGAUGGGAUCGUGAACGUGGGGCCUGCAGCACCUGCGGGGCGUGCAACGGUGCCCACAAGGAGCAUUCUUGGCUGGGCGGUGCCCCUCGCCCCCCUCCCAGGCCCUCCAGAGCCAGGCUCAGCCCCCACACCGUGGCCCCUGCACAUGAAGCAGACUGGACUUCCCUGGCCUCUGUGCCUGAGGUUCCCCGAGGCCCUGCUAACCCCCCUCCACCUGCCCGGUCCUCUCUGCGGCCCCCUGCCUUGUCCAGAGCCCUCCUCCUCCUCACCCCCUCCGCGCGGCUCCCCCACUCUGCCCCCACCUGCCUUCCCGUCCUGUCUGGAGCCCACAGCAGCGCUCCUCAGUUCAGUGCCGUCCGUGUGCACCUCCCAACCAGCUGGGGGCUGGCACUGCCGCCCGGGAGGGGGUUUCAGUGGAGCCGCGGGGCCCCCAGACAAACGCCCUCUGUAUCUCCGGCCUCCUGGGAGUGGCCGCGGGCCAGCCCUCGCCGCCAGCCGCUUGAACGGUGCGGAUUGUUUCCCGCCUCCUGUCCCCUCGCCUGCCAGGCCGGGCUGGGCAGGAAAGGGGAGGGGCGCUCCUUCUGGAAUGGAAGGUGUGGGAGGCCAGCGAGCCGCUGGGGAGGGGGCGGGGUGCUGACCGCAUGGAGGCCGGAGGCCGUGCAGGCCCCAGCGGGGAGGCGAGGGCGCAGGCGAGGGCGGCCCCGGGCUCCUGCUGCUCCUGAGAGCGCACGGCAGCCCAGACAGAGCCGGCGACCUGCCCAAGGUCGCUCAGCAAGCCAGUCGCAGCGGCGAGACUGGCCCCAGCCCAGGGUUCUGGCCCCAACGCCAGGCCCCUCCGCUGGGGUUUGCGUGGGGAGCUGCUUAACGAAGGAGUGGCGCAAACCGCAGAUGGGCACGCGGGGGCGCAGGGAGCGCAGGGAGCGCUGGCGCGUUCACGCGGGGGCUCAGGAGCCAGCGGGAGCCCGCGCGGGACCAGCUCCGCCGGGGGCUCCGCAGGGGCGCUCUCACCUCGGUCGUCAGAAGAAGAAAACCGAAUGCGGAGCCGCCCGGAAGCGCGGCGACCCAGGAGGCUGCGGGCGCUCGCUGGGGUCCUGCGCUGCCGCCCCACUGCCUUUCCUCGUGGUCGCCUUGUCGCCGGGUGCAGGGCUCGUCUCCAGGCUUUCUGAGUUGUCUUCUGCCCUCUGUCCUGUCUCUGCUGUCAGCGCCACCUUCGGUCCACCUGUUGUUUGCGGGUCUUUCAUCAUGUCUGAGGCCUUCCUCUCAACGGUCUCUUGAUGAGACGUGGAAGUAGGUUGCUAUUUAAAAGUAAGGGGGUCAAGUGUGUGGCAUAGUGGUUAAGACUCCGUUUGGGGGGCUGGCAUGUUGCAUAGUGGGUAAAGCUGCUGCCUGUGGUGCCAGCAUCCCAUACGGCGCUGGUUCGAGUCCUGGCUGCUCCACUUCUGAUCCAGCUCUCUGUUAUGGCCUGGGAAAGCAGUAGAAGAUGGCUGAAGUCUUUGGGCCCCUGCACCUGCAUGGGAAACCUGGCUUCAGAUCGCUCCGGUUGUUACAGCCAUUUGGGGAGUGAACCAAUGGAUGGACGUUCUCUCUCUCUCUGCCUCUGCCUCUCUGUAACUCUGCCUUUCAAAUAAAUAAAUAAAUAAAUCUUUUUUAAAAAAAAAU